rnacentral:rRNA from 1 species
UUGCUCGAGUGGCGAACGGGUGAGUAACACGUGAGUAACCUGCCCUCGACUUUGGGAUAACUUCAGGAAACUGGGGCUAAUACCGGAUAGGAGCUCCUGCUGCAUGGUGGGGGUUGGAAAGUUUCGGCGGUUGGGGAUGGACUCGCGGCUUAUCAGCUUGUUGGUGGGGUAGUGGCUUACCAAGGCUUUGACGGGUAGCCGGCCUGAGAGGGUGACCGGCCACAUUGGGACUGAGAUACGGCCCAG